AGACAAAAAAAGACCCAAAACUAUCCAAUUGUUCUGGGUCUAGGGGAAUGGCUCUUCAUAAAAGAGCCUUGCGCUACUGUUGAGAGGCUAUUCUCAGUAAAUCAGUUAAGUUGUAUUCAGUUAAGUUGCAUUCAG
rnacentral:sRNA from 1 species